rnacentral:rRNA from 2 species
CCUACGGGGGGCAGCAGUGGGGAAUAUUGCGCAAUGGAGGAAACUCUGACGCAGCGACGCCGCGUGAGCGAAGAAGGCCUUCGGGUCGUAAAGCUCUGUUCUUGGGGACGAAUAAGGUGACGGUACCCAAGGAGAAAGCCCCGGCUAACUACGUGCCAGCAGCCGCGGUAAUACGUAGGGGGCGAGCGUUGUCCGGAAUUACUGGGCGUAAAGGGCGUGUAGGCGGCCGAGCAAGUCAAGUGUGAAAAGCCUCGGCUUAACCGAGGCAUUGCACAUGAAACUGCAUGGCUUGAGUGCAGGAGAGGGAAGUGGAAUUCCUAGUGUAGCGGUGAAAUGCGUAGAUAUUAGGAGGAACACCAGUGGCGAAGGCGACUUCCUGGACUGUAACUGACGCUGAGGCGCGAAAGCGUGGGUAGCAAACAGGCUUAGAUACCCCAGUAGUC